GUGCUCACUUCAGCAGCACAUGUACUAAAACUAGAACGAUACAGAGAAGGUUAGUGUGGCCCCUGUGCGAGGAUGAUGCUCAAAUUCGUGGAGCGUUCCGUAUUUUU